UUUAUGUUCAUUAUUGAUACAAUAAAAUUUUAAAAGUCCAAUAAAUAUUCUCCUUUAUACUUUUCAACUCAGCUUUUGAUUCAAAAAUUCAAAGAAAGGAUUUUGGGCUUAGUAAAUUGUUAAAAAAAAAUAGUCUUUUUUUUUUUUUUUCACAGAGCCACUUGAAGUGAGAAUUGUGUCUACUUGUUCUUUGUCCUCCUAUACAUUUGCUUCAAGAUUUCAAAUACCCAUUUUAUAUUGAACAGAACAGAGAUGACCCUUUUCAUUUGAGCUCAAGAUUUGCUGAUCUCAAGUUGAAAUCUGGUUCUUCUGGUGCUUUUGGUUAAUGGGUAUUGGUUUUCUUGAACUUUAUUUAAGAUUUAGUUGGUGGUGGGUUGCUCUUUCUCUGUAAAGUUUUGAUUUUUACAUUGACAUAGUGUGUCAUUAGUUGAGUUUAGACUAAUAUUUGCUUGCAAGAAUGUUUGGUAUGAUCAGAAAUUGAGAUUGUGCUGUGAUUGGUUGAGAAGUGUUUGUAUUUCUGCUGCAAAUUCUCCAAAAGAACUGAUUUUUAUGUGGUUUUGAGGUAGCUUGAACUUGUACAGAAUAUCAUUAUUGAUGGUUUAGAACAUGGACUAGCAUGGAGUGUUUAGCUGUUCUGAAAUUAUCAUGAUAUGAGUUUUAGCUAUGUAUUCUUUUAGAAGUUCUGGUGAUAAGAACAACAUACUUAGUGUAAUCCCACAAGUGGGGUGUGGGGUCUUGGGAGGGUGGUGUAUGCGCAGUCUUACCCCUACCUUGUGAAGGUAGGGAGGCUGGUUUCUUAGAAAGUUGUGUUGAUAUUGAUUUAAUUUGGAAAGGACCUCUAGGAUUAGUUAUGUGCUUGCCAGUUGGAGUGAAGGUAAUAUUGAAUAGGCCGUGAACAUCCAACCAUUGUACAGUAAAAAUUGGAUAGUUAAGACCUAUAGUCAUUAAAUUCUGGCGAGAGGGUGUAUCAUAGGCAAUCAAGGUCCGUUUGAUUUGUUGUAAUGGCUUCAGUUAGAAGAGCAUUAUCCCCAGUGCCUCAUCCGGGAGAUAGAACUAAUGGGGAAGCAUUGUCCCCAUCGCCAUUGUCCAAGUCAUCGUCGUGUAACGAAAGUUAUACACCGCCUACAGGGUUGAUGUCUUCUUAUGUUGGUUCAUUGGAUUAUGCAUGUUACAAAGUUCAGACGUUUGUACUUGGUCUUUUUUCGCGAAGAUCAUCUAGGCCCUUGGAAAGAUCAAAGUUAAAGGGCCAAAUUUGGGGGAGAGCGCUUGUCCAAUUCUGUAUGUGCUUUGUUGUUGGAGCUUUUAUUGGCCUUACUCCACUUGUUUCUCUAAAUUUGUCAGCAAAUAUAAUUUAUAAACAUCAAGAUUUCUACGAAAAUGGCCGCUUAUUUGAUGAUGUGUCUAGAAAUAUGACAUCAACUAUUGACAGUUCGGUUUUCCUGGAUAAUUUCACUUCAGAGCCUAAUUUAGUAUACAGUGAACUGAAAGACGAAAGUUCUGUCAAUGUCUCCGUUGACGAAUCACCUGAUCAAGAGUUGAUGGCGUCUAAAAAAUUUUUGAUCAUUGUGACGCCAACAGAAGCACGGUCAUUUCAAGCUUAUUAUCUGAAUCGAUUGGCCCACGUAUUAAAAUUAGUGCCUCCUCCUUUGUUGUGGAUAGUUGUGGAGAUGGACUCGCAAUUAAUGGUGACGGCUGAUAUAUUGAGGAUAACGGGAGUUAUGUACAGGCAUCUUGUAUGCAAGAAGAACUCAACAGAAGUAAAUGAUAAAAGUGUGCACCUAAGGAAUAUGGCAUUAACACAUAUUGAAACACAUCAUCUUGAUGGGAUUGUUUACUUUGCUGAUGAUUCCAACAUAUACUCCCUAGAUGUCUUUGAACAAAUGAGGCAGAUCAGCCGGUUCGGGACAUGGGUUGUGGGAAGACUAGCUGAAAAUAAUAGGAAAGUUAUCUUGCAGGGUCCAAUCUGUAAUGGCUCUCAGGUUAUAGGUUGGCGUACAGAUGGAACUGCAAAAAUAUUCCAGAGAUUCUAUGCUGAAUUAUCAGGAUUUGCAUUCAAUAGUACCGUACUUUGGGAUCCAAAGAGGUGGAACCAGCCAACACUAGAGCCCAUUAGGCAGCUCGAUAUAGUAAAAGGUGGCGCCCAAGUGAGGGGAUUUAUUGAACAAGUUGUGGAAGAUGAAAGCCAAAUGGAAGGCUUUCCAAUGCACUGCUCAAGAAUUAUGGUUUGGCAAUUCAAUACAGAGUUUUUGUAUCCAUAGAGAAUGCUUCUUCAGCGUAAACAAGGUGAACAAAUUAUGUUCAUAACUUUUCAGGAGAACUAGUUAAUGAUUAUGAGCAUUUGCUGCAAAAUUUUAUCCGACCAUCAGCUCGUGGUUACAGGAAUACUACCUGUGUCUGAAUCCAUGUAGAAGUAUCUGGAGACAGGUAUAAGGGAAAGACGCAACUAGCCAUCCACACAAAUGUAGAGUUGCAAGUAUUGGGCCAAUUCUUUCGACUAAAGCUUUUUCAAUAUACUAACUUAAUGGUUCAAUGGAGGAUUCAACCUCACUGAGCUUGCAGAUUAGUCUCUGGACUUGUGCAUAUAUCAAGAUGUUUUACUUAGCUUUACAAGAUUGGUUGUAAUGUUUAAUGAUUUCUUGAUAGAGUCUGUACUGAAGGCUUUAUGGCUGAUCUUCUAAAGAGCAAAGAGAAGUUUUCUUGAUUGUAAGACAGAAAACUAUGAACCAAUUCAAUUGAUGAAUCAAGUAAAAGUUCAUUCUUGUUAACUUCCAAAAUCUAUCCU